CCUACGGGGGGCUGCAGUGGGGAAUAUUGGACAAUGGGGGGAACCCUGAUCCAGCCAUGCCGCGUGUGUGAAGAAGGCCCUCGGGUUGUAAAGCACCUUCAGUGAGGAAGAACGCCUGGUGGUUAAUACCCAUCAGGAAAGACAUCACUCACAGAAGAAGCACCGGCUAACUCCGUGCCAGCAGCCGCGGUAAUACGGAGGGUGCGAGCGUUAAUCGGAAUUACUGGGCGUAAAGCGCGCGUAGGUGGCUUGAUAAGCCGGUUGUGAAAGCCCCGGGCUCAACCUGGGAACGGCAUCCGGAACUGUCAAGCUAGAGUGCAGGAGAGGAAGGUAGAAUUCCCGGUGUAGCGGUGAAAUGCGUAGAGAUCGGGAGGAAUACCAGUGGCGAAGGCGGCCUUCUGGACUGACACUGACACUGAGGUGCGAAAGCGUGGGUAGCAAACAGGAUUAGAUACCCUUGUAGUC
rnacentral:rRNA from 1 species